UCCAUCAGUGAGGAGGUGAUGCCACAGCUCAGGGAUAUUCUAACGGGUAGCAGUAUGAAAGCUAGCUAGACGAUCCCAUGUCCACACUUGGCUAGGGGCAGACGCUGCAAAUGACUCCUCCAUCUAAGCCAAAGAAACAUUGACGUUUGAAGAGCAGACAGGCGAAAAGGGAAAGUGAGAGAGCCCGGGGCAAGACGAGAGUAAACCUCCGAUUUGCGAUAACACGCGUGGGGAGUUGAAGAGAUUCAAAACUGAGUUAGCAUUUUUUUGCUGAAAAGCGUGACAAAAUACAGCAUUUGUGAGGGCCCUGUGACUGUAGAUGGCGAUGAGGUCAACAACCUAACGUAACCAUGUUAUAGACUGAGAAGACAAGAACAGGGUGCCUUCUGAUGACCAGUGGGACACUUCCGAUGAGGAUUGGGAACCAGAGGACGACAGCUCAGAUUGUUCACCCUCUUUUUGUGUGUCUAUGAGGCUGUAACCCUACUGGCAGCACGACUGAAUCCUCAUAACCAUUGCCCAGCAUUGGAGAGCGCGGAUGGGAUGGCAAGACCUACAUGAGAAUCUACAAUACCAAGUCUGGAAGGUGGAGUGUCUACGUGUUGAAAAUGGCUACGGUGCUACAACUUCGAGAAGAUGUCACCACGCAACACAGGAUGCAGUUGGCACACCUUUGGGCGGGGAAGGACCUGAGCUUUCCCGACUGUCAGCUUUCCCUAUUGGCUCCCGGGAAGUGUGAGAACCUACAGAGUACUCAGAAAUAUUGUUGAAAGGGGGGGGCUACAACACAACAUACACACUGAGUGGACAAAACCUUAGGAACGCUUUCCUAAUAUUGAGUUACACUCCUAUUGCAUUCAGAACAAUCUCAAUUCGUUGAGGCGUGGACUCUACAAGGUGUCGAAAGCAUUCCACAGGGAUGCUAGCACAUGUUGACUCCAAUGCUUCACACAGUGUCAAGCUGGCUAGAUGUACUUUGGGUGGUGGACCAUUCUUGAUACACACCGGAACUGUUAAGUGUAAACCUAGCAUCAGUUCUUGACAAAGGCCCUUAAAUUCUUUUCAAAGGCCCUUAAAUAUUUAGCCUUGCCCAUUCACCCUCUGAACGGCACACAUACAAAAUCCAUGUCUCAAUUGUCUCAAGGCUUAAAAAUGCUUCUUUAACCUGUCUCCUCCCCUUCAUCUACACUGAUUGAAGUGGAUUUAACAAGUGACAUCAAUAAGGGGUCACAGCUUUUCACCCGGAUUCACGUGGUCAGUCUAUGUCAUAGAAAGAGAAGGUGUUCCAAAUGUUUUGUACACUCAGUGUAAAACAUGUAAAUAAGGGAAGUUUGUGUGAGCAACAUUAAACAAGUGAGAAACAAUAUUUGUACAUUCUGUAUCUAGCAUUAUAGGUAUCAUUAUUGUACUUGUAUGUUUAUUUAGUUUCCUGGUCCCUUUUCCUGGAUAUCUAUGCUCCUGAGGGUACU